rnacentral:rRNA from 1 species
AUUGAACGCUGGCGGCAUGCUUUACACAUGCAAGUCGAACGGACUUAGGGGCUUGCUCCUGAGUUAGUGGCGAACGGGUGAGUAAUGCAUCGGAACGUACCGUGUAGUGGGGGAUAACGCAGCGAAAGUUGUGCUAAUACCGCAUACGAUCUACGGAUGAAAGCAGGGGAUCGCAAGACCUUGUGCUAUACGAGCGGCCGAUGUCGGAUUAGCUAGUUGGUGAGGUAAAGGCUCACCAAGGCGACGAUCCGUAGCGGGUCUGAGAGGAUGAUCCGCCACACUGGGACUGAGACACGGCCCAGACUCCUACGGGAGGCAGCAGUGGGGAAUUUUGGACAAUGGCGCAAGCCUGAUCCAGCCAUGCCGCGUGAGUGAAGAAGG